GAUGUCUAUUUGAGUCUCAUUAGGAUAAAGCCUUUUGGGUGCUGCUUUUCUCAAGAUACAUCCUGGGGCCUUGCUGGUUGCAUUUUUGCCAGUCUUUGAACUGUUGUUUGUUGAACACAUCAGAUCGGACCUGAGAAAGGCAGACUACCACAUGUAGCACCUCAUUUGGAUGUGUCUGGAGUCUUGGAAGCUUGACUACCCUACACUCUCCUGCAAAUGGACCUUGAGAGCUUGUUUGAAGGCUCCAGCAGGGAAGCUCAGCUAUUCGUAUACCCUUGACCAAAGAACGGUCCUCCUCUAUUGGGAAGGUUGUCCUCUUUGAGCGUGAAGCCUUGGGAGGGACACACAUGGAGUGGUGAGGGAGGAAGGGGACACCCGCCUAGCAGCCAGAUCAGCUGAAUCAAUCCUGGCGAUCAAUGGAGUGACAGAUGUUUCAGCCACAUGGCCCUCACAUCUUCAUUGUGGUUUUGAUUUGCAUUUCCCUGCUGAUGAGUGAUGUUGAGCAUCUUUUCAUGUGUCUGUGCCCAUCUGUAUACAUUCUUUGGAGAAAGUAUUCAGACAAGAAUAAAAGUUAUGCCACCAAUGUUUACUGUAUGGUCAGUCAUCAAGAAACCCAGGAAGUGACAUGCCAUCCGAGCGCCAUGACAGAUGUAGUCCUCACCCAUUGGUUCAUCACUGGAACUCUUAAGGCAAACGCUGAGUGGGGUAACAGCAAGAGUAACUUCUUCUUGACUUGAUGUAAAAAGAACAACUGCCUCAGCAAGCACUCUACAAAAAGUAAUGAAAAGUACUAUGUUACUUGAAAAACAAGAAGAAAGAAUCUUAUUAAAUGGGACUCAAAUCUUUAAUCUGGAAAUAAACAGUGGCCACGUUGUAAAGACAAUCAGAUAAUCCACAGAGAGGCCUGUGUGGUGAGGAACUGAGGCCUACCAGCAACCAGACUGGUGAGCUUGGAAGUUGAUCAUCUGAGGGCUCCCCACAGCCAUGUCUGUGAGUUUGGGAGUGAGCCCCCCCCCAAGUCCAGCCUUCAGAUGAGACCACAGCCCUGGCUGACAGCUUGACUCCAAUUUCAUGAGACACCUUGAGCUGGAUGCACCCAGUUAAGCCACACUUAUAACUAUGAAGUAAUCAAUAUCUGGUUUCUUAAAGCUCUGAGUUUGGGGGAAAUUUGUUCCACAGAAAUAGGCAACUAAUACACUUUUUUUUUUAUGGCAAAAAGCUGGAAACAACCUACUUUUUCACUAAUAGGACAAUGGGUAACUAAAUUAUGGUUCAGUCAUACAGUAAAAAAUUAUGUAAUCAUUAAAAACAAUAAGAUUGAUUUAAGUGAACUGACACAGAAACUUAAUAAAUCAAGUUGCCAAAUAAUAACAGUAGGACA